GUGUGUCCUGGAAGUAUUCACUUGCAUAAAUGAGAGGAGGAAAUCCUGAACAUGAGUACAGAUACUUAGUUAUCGUUAUUUUUUAAACGUUGUUGUUGGAGUUCUUAAGCAUGAUUCUUCAGCAGCCCUUUCUUGGAUAAAAAUCACAUGCCACUCUGGACUUCCAGGUGCUGUUGGAGCACUGGCAAAACAAAUAGUGCGUAAUGGUAAUUGUUUAGUGUGUUGUUUGCAGGAGCUGAACAUACUGAUCCUUGGAGUUACCUGUGGAGCUGCUUCUCAAGCCAGCUAUAACUGCUGAAUAUCCUGAGCAUUCGAAAGAUGGAGAGAUCAGCAUUUUCUGAUUGAUUCUGAGUUUAUUUUUCCCUGAUUUUUGAUCAUUAUGAAGCAAUCAAAAUCAGAAGCAAAAUGUGAAAUAUUUUGUGGAAGAUGUGCAGACUUACCAGUUUGUAUGUCAUGUAACAGGUGUUUUUUUAGUGUUUUUUUUUCUUCCUAGAACCAAAUUUAUCUGAACUUGAAAUAAUGUUCUGCAAAUUGUGCUUUCAUGAGUACACUUCUUAGUUAGAUGAAAACUAGUGGAAAAAUAAGUCAUUCUCUUAAAAAUACAAAUACUGCUUUAAUUCAUUAAAAUGUUACAAUUGAUCAAAUAAAAUUGUUGUAGAAAAGAUUAUACAGAACAGGAAUGAUGCGCUGGAAAGUGAAACUACUAUGUUGAAGAAUAUUCAGCUUGCUAGAACACUACAAGUUUUCCCUGUAUAUGUUUACUGUAUAUUUUCAGCAACUAUGAAAGCCGCAAAAAAUCCACAUAUUACCUCAGAAGUAAUCUCAGUAUUUUAAUUCCCCUGUGGAUGCAGAUGCCUGAGGCUCAGCCCUGAAGCAGACACGUAAGCUCCCGAGGUUGUUCAAGCAUCUUGCACAGUCUACAAAGAACUAUGCGUAUUUCUUGAGUCCUAUGGGGAAUGUUUUUGGAGAUCCCUGUCUACCCUUGCUGACAUCACAGGAGCUUAAGCAAUAGUUCCAGGAAGCAUUUUGUGAACCUCUGAUGUCAGUUCUCUGGAUGUAACAUCAGUACUCUGGCAAUAAACUGUUGCCCAGUAUUUGAAGACAAUCCAUGCUCAAGAACUUGACUCAUCCUUUCAGCAGGCUGAAGGAUUUUCUGGAGAUUGCUUAAUGUGACAUUGGCUAGCCCUUUGGAGUUCUACAGUGUCACAGAGUCAGAAUGAUUAUUUUAUAGUUGAAACCAGAAGAAACAUCUGCAGGUCACUUGUUCAAGCAGGGACAUUCAGACCAGGGUGAUUUCUAUGCAGAAAACUUACUUUUACCAAAGCAAUUGGAUUUUGAGAAAACUAACGGCACUAACAUGGUGCGUGGAUCUUAGACGGUCUUCGACAGAAAAGACCUUUGUAUUUGGAAAAUUUUCUGUAUUAAACACUAGCAAAUUAUCAAAAUAUCUUAUUAAUGAAUACAUCAGUAAGUGUGAAAUCUGGGUUAUCUGGCUAUUUUCCUCACUUUCAAUUAUGAUAAACAUGAUGAAUUAGAAGUAUGUAUCUAUGAUUUAGCAGUACACUUUCUACAAGAUUCAAUCCAGUAAGUUACAAAUAAGCUUUAAAAUUUGAGACAUCUCUGAAAUACAUUGCGGC
ensembl:lncRNA